GCAAGUCGAACGAACCUUCGGGUUAGUGGCGGACGGGUGAGUAACGCGUGAGAAUCUGCCCUCAGGAGGGGGAUAACGGUUGGAAACGACCGCUAAUACCCCAUAUGCCGAUAGGUGAAAUGAAUUUCGCCUGAGGAUGAGCUCGCGUCUGAUUAGCUUGUUGGUGAGGUAAUGGCUCACCAAGGCUUCGAUCAGUAGCUGGUCUGAGAGGAUGAUCAGCCACACUGGGACUGAGACACGGCCCAGACUCCUACGGGAGGCAGCAGUGGGGAAUUUUCCGCAAUGGGCGAAAGCCUGACGGAGCAACGCCGCGUGAGGGACGAAGGCCUCUGGGCUGUAAACCUCUUUUCUCAAGGAAGAAGAUAUGACGGUACUUGAGGAAUAAGCCACGGCUAAUUCCGUGCCAGCAGCCGCGGUAAUACGGGAGUGGCAAGCGUUAUCCGGAAUUAUUGGGCGUAAAGCGUCCGCAGGCGGCUUAUCAAGUCUGCUGUUAAAACGUGGAGCUUAACUCCAUCAUGGCAGUGGAAACUGAU
rnacentral:rRNA from 1 species